UGAAUACGAGAUGCUACGGCGUCGAAGCAGUGUAUGUCAGACUUCCAAGAAAAGCUCGCAAUGUCAUAAAUAAAGAAUGCCUGUACCAUAACCGACACAGGUGGGUAGGUAGAGUAUACUAAGGGGCGCGAGAUAACUCUCUCUAAGGAACUCGGCAAAAUAACUCCGUAACUUCGGGAGAAGGAGUGCCAUCUUUAAGAAGGUUGCAAUAACAAGAUCCAAGCAACUGUUUAUCAAAAACACAGGUCUCCGCUAAGUCGUAAGACGAUGUAUGGGGGCUGACGCCUGCCCAGUGCCAGAAGGUUAAAGAAGUUGGUUAGCUUUUGCGAAGCUGAUGACUGAAGCCCUGGUGAACGGCGGCCGUAACUAUAACGGUCCUAAGGUAGCGAAAUUCCUUGUCGGGUAAGUUCCGACCCGCACGAAAGGCGUAAUGAUUUGGAUACUGUCUCGGAGAGGGACUCGGUGAAAUAGACUUGUCUGUGAAGAUGCGGACUACCUGCACCAGGACAGAAAGACCCUAUGAAGCUUUACUGUAACUUGAAAUUGAAAUUGGACUUUAUUUGCGCAGUAUAGGUGGAAGGCGUUGAAAGUAAUCUUGCGGGAUUAGUGGAGCCAUCAGUGAGAUACCACUCCUAUAAUGUUAGAUUUCUAACUUUGGAUCAUGAUCUGGUCAAAGAACAGUUUCAGGCGGGCAGUUUGACUGGGGCGGUCGCCUCCCAAAUGGUAACGGAGGCGUACAAAGGUUUCCUCUGAACGGGUAGAAAUCGUAUCUAGAGUGUAAAGGCAUAAGGAAGCUUGACUGUGAGACCUACAAGUCGAGCAGGGACGAAAGUCGGUCUUAGUGAUCUGACGGUGCUGAGUGGAAAGGCCGUCACUCAACGGAUAAAAGUUACUCUAGGAUAACAGGCUGAUCUCCCCCAAGAGUUCACAUCGACGGGGAGGUUUGGCACCUCGAUGUCGGCUCAUCGCAUCCUGGGGCGGUAGUACGUCCCAAGGGUUGGGCUGUUCGCCCAUGAAAGCGGUACGCGAGCUGGGUUCAGAACGUCGUGAGACAGUUCGGUCCAUAUCCGGUGUAGGCGUUAGAAUAUUGAGAGGAGCCUUCUUUAGUACGAGAGGACCGAGAAGGACAUACCUCUGGUGUACCAGUUAUCGUGCCAACGGUAAACGCUGGGUAGCUAUGUAUGGAGAGGAUAACCGCUGAAAGCAUCUAAGUGGGAAGCCCACCUCAAGAUGAGUAUUCUCAU
rnacentral:rRNA from 1 species